rnacentral:lncRNA from 1 species
UAAUCUGGUUGUUUCGUUCUGUAUCUUAACAAAAGCAAAUGCAUUGUAACAAAAGUGGGUUGAAGAGUAUCACAUUUAACUUUCUGCUCCCGCCACAAAAUAUUUUGUCUUUUCCUUAUCAUUUCAGAAAUCAGUACCAUUAAAGCCUUAAACAGAAAACUAAUUCCAAUCUGAAAAAGGUACAAAAAGGCACAUAAAUCCCAGUGCUUCUUUACUGUAAAAUUCAAGUGUAGCUGAGCUCGGUGUUUUCCAGACAGUAUUGGAUCACUGAUAUUCCCUGGGAGCCCAAACUGGUUCGCAGCCUACGCCAAAGCCUCCAGCAAGCACGGUGCUAGUGGACUACAGAGUUAAAGCCUAGCUUCUGUAUGCUUUUUUUUGGGAAUAUCAGGUGAAACUGUUCAUACUUGUCCAAAAGCCAAGUCCGUCCUGCCGUUCAGUCGUCACCACCGCCGUACAUGUCCGCCAGUUUCUUGAAGCGGGGUCCCCAGUCAUUCAGGUAGUCAUAGUCCUGGUCCCCACCGCUACUGGAGGAGUUGAGGGAGCUCAAGGAGCCAGCCGUGGAGCCGCUGCCCUCGUAGUCAAAGACUAAGAGGGAGUCAUACGGUGGCGCCGUGGGGUCGUUGUCAGCAGCUUUAAGGCCCUCAUUAAUGAAGUCCCCAAUAUCCCCAGGGUGUGGGGCUGCGGAUCGGACUGGGUACUGUGGCUCAGCAUGGAUAGGCCUCUCGUCUAGCCGUCUGAUUCCCACGGGCUUGAUGGCAUCAGGCUCCACAGUAUCUGGUUGCUGGAGCUGGCUCAAGUCAUAGUCCUUCUUCCGCAUCUAUGAGACUCCUUAGAAGUUUCGGUUUCUCCAGGCCAUGUGCUUCUGCUUCUUUAAUGUAAGUUUUUAAGAUGGCUUUGGAAGCUCUGGAUGAAUCACUCAUUUUCUGUGGGAAAGACAUGGGUUCCUGAUCCUUGCUCCUUAUCAAUGAAGAGUUCACCGCAUCAUGAGAAAGCAAAAGUUAGAGUCAAUUGCUAAUGAAGGCAGGCUGCUAACACAGCCACCACACUAGAGGGACUCUUCAUGGUACCAUGGAAAAGGAAAUUAAUUUUAGCUGGGAAAAUCUUGGAAGACUCAUAUUGAAAGAUGUCAGAGUUAAAGACAGGAUGACAUUUAGACUUCUACGGGGAGAUGGCCAAGGAAAAUGCACCAGAUAAAAGAGAAGCUGAAGACGUUACAAUGUCUUCCUUCAAAGAGGGGCAUGCGUGCAUGCGUGCGUGCAUGUGUGCGUGCACGUGUACGUGUGUGAACACUGGUGGGAAGUACUUAAAAAGACUGGGUAAAGCUGCAUCUUCAGGCCUUAGAGCCAUAUUUUCAUUGUAAAUGUGUGAAAGACUAAGGUUGGGAAGGAAGAAGAAAGUGUGUCUCACUCUUGUCCCUGUCUAAUUGCUCACAUGUUAAAACAGGAAGCUUCUUGUCCCGUCUGUGCCUGACAACCCUCCACCCCCAACUUAAAGCCCGGUGCACAGAUCCACACCAGCCUUUCCCACACACUGGUGACCUUUCUUCAAAGACAAACCUGGCCUGGCAUUUGUGAUGCUUAAAUUCAGCAUCCAGGGCUUGGGAGGAAUUUCUUUCUGAAGGG